UUGUGUUUUAUCUAGAUGAUG
rnacentral:siRNA from 1 species